rnacentral:lncRNA from 1 species
GUGACUGAAACUUGCUACUGGUUCAUUUCAGCUACAUCCACCGAACCGUAACUCACUACUGCAUACAAGUUCAGCAGGAACAUUCCCAAAACCCCCGUAGAAGAAAUUUACGGUUGCUCAACGCUCUGUUACUGGCGGCCACAACUGUGUGUGCUCCACAUGUCUUUGUAAUCACUUAAUGACUCAUUUCCUUAAUCUCUCAUUUCCUAUAGCCUUAUUACAAGCAAUUCAUAAACCCAGAUCCUUAGCUGUUCUCUGGCUGUAGUCAGGAAGCACUGAACUGACUGCAUCUGGUUGGUUGGCUGAAGUACCCCUCUCUGUUCUCCUCUGAAACUUUCCACUGGACCCUGUCUUUUGCUGCAGUGACACCUACUGAUGAGAAGCUACUGGAGAAAUGGAAGAGGAUGACCCCUGGUACCCAAACGGAAGAUGGAAGUUAAUCUCCAUCUAAUCAAGACCCCGUGGAAUGUGUAUGUUCGGGAAGAAAUGAGAAAGAAGAACUUUUUCUUACCAGGACACACACAUCUGAGCAGCUCCUAGGUGAGAAAAAAGCAAGUGAACCACUUCCCACAGAAGCAAAAAGUGUCUCAAAGUUGCCCCGUGAAAUGGAUCAUUCCCUGAUUUAGGAAGAGGCUGUGAAAAUAUCCUGGCAAGUGCUGAGAGUGCUGCAGGGGCCAAGUCUCUCCCAAUUAUUUUGCCUCCCAAGAUCUUGUCUGCUGGCUGGAUCAGACCAUGCGAGAAGGAAAAUGAUGAAAAGAGGAGAAAGUGUGUCCUGGUAGACAUGGCUGAUCUCACACGAAAUUUGGAGAAAGGUGAGGAUGAAAAGUAAAAAGUAAAAUAUAUCUUCUUUUUUAUCAUGUAAAGAACCUUGAUUCAAACUAGGAGGUGGUCAAGCUGAAACUGGAAAUUUAGGGAAAGCUCUUAACUUCCUCCAAAUAGCUGUAUGUAGGGUUAGGCAAACACCCCAAAUUAACAUGGCCUUCCUCAGGGUUUUGUUGUCUCGGUACUACCCUGGGAGCAUGGCUGUGAUAUUUGAGAACCUAUAGUUGCUGCAACUAAGAUCCAGCUGUGAAAGUGAUGAUAUGCAGUAGUGACUAGGAAUAGCAGGGAACCAAACUUCAGUGACCCAAAUGCCUCUUGUAAUUCUCUAAAAAAAUUCUUUCUUUGACUGCAUUUAACAGCCAGACUUCCAUUCAAUACCAAUGGGGUGCACUGAGGGUGGCUUGUACCUGGGGAUGCAUGUGUCUUUCAAAUUGAUUUCUGGG